CACUGAAGAAAAUUUAAACAGCAUAGGAUCACAUGUUGACAUUUAAGCAUGCAUUGAACGGCAAAAACGGAAACGUUCACCUUGGUUAAUUUCGUGAAAGGUCAUUUCUUCCUCUUUUCUGGUAUUCAAGAAGCUCCUCCAGUGCUUGAUGGUGCGAGAAUUACGGGUUAAUGAGUUCUUCCCUUCUACACCCAGAUUCAGUCCAAAACGAGAGUGCGUGCUCUCUUUCAGUCAAAGGAGGAAGGAGCAGGGAGCCAACCAGCAAGAGACCCCUUCCUUUUCUUUUAUAUAUAUAUAUCACACACAUUAUUUGGACCACCACUUGACUUAAUGGGUCAGUAAAGAGAAUUAGGGUGAGCCCAUAAAAAAUCAAGCAAUAAUAUGUGUCCAGUCCCAUUAUGGACCACAAUGCAAAAAUAAAUAACACUGAUUUAUGACAUUAUUAAAUUGAUUAUGUAAGUCCACACAUAAAAAUUCCAACAAUCUCCCACUUGGACUACAUAAUCAAACAUUACAACAUACACAUAAUCAUAAAUCAAUAUCCCAUAGAAUCUCAUCAAAAUAAAUAAUCAAAAGCAAUCAUACAUGCUUCAUUGCUUGAUUCACAGGGAAAUAUACAAUAGUAGCAAUCCUUCCAACAAUACCAUAAUAUUAUAAUACCAAAAAAUGGCUCCCACUAACUCAAUACAACCUAGGCUUCCAACAACCCCAUUUGAGAUACAUGUUCCUGAAACGCAAUUAUGGGUAAGCCUUUUGUUAAUGGAUCCUCCAACAUACUUUUUGUGGACAUGUGUUCAAUAUCAAUAAGAGACUCUGCCACUUUCUCCUUAACAAAAUAGAACUUUACAUCAAUAUGUUUGGAGCGAGAAAUACUCCUAGUGUUCUUGGAGAAAGUAACAGUUGCAGAAUUAUCACAAAAUAAUUUCAACGGUCUAGAAAUGGAGUCAACAACUCCCAAAGCUGAAAUAAAAUUCCGCAUCCACAUAGCAUGACAACAAGCCUCAUAACAUGCCACAUACUCUGCCUCCAUAGUUGAGGAUGCUGUAAGUGUCUGCUUGACACUUUUCCAAGAUACAGCUCCUCCUGCCAUCAUAAAAAUAUAGCCCGUAGUGGAUUUCUUAUCAUCUAAGCAGCCAGUAAAAUCAGCAUCACAAAACCCAACUACAUCAAGUAAGCUGGUGCCCUGAUAUGUCAACAUUAAGUCCUUAGUUCCUUGCAAAUACCUAAGGACCUUCUUAGCUGCUUUCCAAUGUUGACUCCCAGGAUUGCUCAAGUACCUUCCCAACAUGCCCACAACAAAAGCAAUAUCAGGGCGUAUACAUACUUGAGCAUACAUAAGGCUGCCCACCACAGAUGAAUAAGGAAUGGUCUUCAUUUCCUCUCUCUCAUCAUCAUUUUGAGGACGCUGAGCCUUUGAAAAGUUAUCACCCUUCACAAUUGGCGCUCUAGUAGAACUACAGUUGUGCAUAUUGAACCUCUUCAAUAUUUUCUCAAUAUAGGUUCUUUGAGACAAUUUAAGCACUCCAUUAUCCCUAUCACGAAGAAUCUUUAUGCCCAAAACAUAAGAAGCCUCACCAAGAUCCUUCAUGUCAAAAUGGGUUGACAACAUGUGCUUUGUCUCAAACAACAAGUCAGAAUCAUUUGAUGCGAGUAGUAUAUCAUCAACAUAUAAAACAAGAAAUAUGUAACUACUCCCACUGACCCUCAAAUAUAUGCAUUUGUCAACUGUAUUCUCUUUAAAACCAUUUUGGGUGAUAAUACUAUUAAACUUUAGAUACCACUAGAUCUUUCAUCAACAGAACUCACAUCUUCAAAAUAUACAACCCUGUCUAACUCAAUGAUCUUGGUGGUAUGAGAUGGACAAUACAAUAUGGAAUCCCUUGAUCCAAUGCUAUUACCAACAAAGAAACCACUAAUGGUUUUAGGAUCAAGUUUCUUUGACUAUGGGUUAUAGGGCCUAACCUCAGCCUUACAUCCCCAAACAUGGAAAUGGUGAAGGCUAGGUUUCUUUCCUGACCAUAGCUCAUAAGGUGUCUUAGGCACAAACUUAAUGGGCACUUGAUUCAAAAUAUAUGCCACAGUCCUUAAGGCUUCACCCCACAGAAAUUCUGUUAAGAGGAAUUGGACAACAUGCACCUCACCAUAUCUAACAAUGUGCGAUUCCUCCUUUUUGCAACCCCAUUCUGUUGAGGAGUGCCUGGCAUUGUAUAUUUCGCAUCAAUGCCACAUUCCAACAAAAACUUAGCAAAUGGUCCAGGAUUUCGUCCAGUCUCAUCAUAUCUCCCAUAAUACUCACCAUCUCUAACCAAUCUCUCUAAUCUUUGCCUAGAAAUAUGACCUAGGCGUUUGUGCCACAAUAUGGAAGAACUGAAAUUUACUUGGCUUAUCAACUCUCAAAACCCAAUCCAAAAUGUGCAUAGUCAUAUGCACAUUGAAAGACUCAAAACAUUCCUCAAAAUUAUUCCAGUAAGAGGUUUGAUGGCAGACAAUUGCAGAGUAAUACCAGGAUUGCUAGUAGUUGGAAAAUAGCAAAAUUAAGCAAUAUGCAUGUUACUACAAAAUCAUGCAUUUGCUAGUUUCCAGAAUUUCUCAAUUUAGCAACAGCUUGGAAUUUUGAAAAUUCCACGGCGGUAAGGACAACCAAUUAAAUAUCAUAACCAAGAUGCACUAAUUUUAUUACCGAAAGAGCAAAGAAAAUUAGUACGGUUCAUAAUAUAAAAUUAAUUUCCUUCACCAAUCCAAGCAUCCUACCAAAUAUUAUAAUCAUCGAUAGGACAAUCACAGUACUCGUAUGGAUCUUAGUAAUAACAAUAAUAAAGCGACUAAAUGUGGGAGUUAAAUUAUUUCAGCAAAGACAAUUUGACACAUAUAGGGUCACGAUAGGCAACCACAUAUAUGUUCACUAUUGUCAUGAUAAACUGAAAUAUUUAAUUUGCGCAACUUGACACACUUGAAAUUGCGAUAGGCAAUCACACAAGUGUUAUAAAUUGCCACAAUAAAUUUAAAUAGUUAACAAAAUUGACCUUGGACAACAUUAUUGGUACAAAAUAAAAAUUAUACCAUAAAACCAAUAAUUAUAAUAAUUGUCCCAAUAAAGUGAAUUUUAACAAUUGCAUAAUAAUUCUAACAUAUGCAUAAUCAAUCCAAGAAUACCAAGGCAAACAAAACAAAAAUAAAAAAAUAAAAUUGCUUUUGUUUUUUUUUUUUUUUUUAAUGACGUCAUGAUGACGUCAUCACAUCACUAUUCAUCUCCUUCUCCAGCUGAACACGGCCUGGUGCAGGAGAAAAAAAAAAUUUUCCUUUUUCGGCCAAAAUUUUGGGCAUUUUCCGACAAAAAACGCUUAGAUUUCCAUCCUCAAACAUCAAACCUUCAAUCUAAUCCCAAAAUUUGCACAAAAAUCGCAUAAUAGGAAAAACCAAAGCAAGCCCUAAUUCUCGAAAUCCCACCAAACAAGCUCCAAAAAUCAAAUAAAAUGAUGGGUUUUGCUCCAAACAAUAUUCUCUACAAGUUUCCAACAACAAUCGGGCUUGAAAACAGAGAAUCAACAUCAAACGAGAAAUAAAAUUCCAAAAAAAUGGCUUCCACAAUAGGAAACAGGAAACCCAAAAAUUAACCCAAAAUUGCAGCUCAAAUGUCAUCCAUGUUGGCUCUGAUACCAAUUGAAGAAAAUUUAAACAGCAUAGGAUCACAUGUUGACAUUUAAGCAUGCAUUGAACGGCAAAAACGGAAACGUUCACCUUGGUUAAUUCCGUGAAAGGCCAUUUCUUCCUCUUUUCUGGUAUUCAGGAAGCUCCUCUAGUGCUUGAUGGUGCGAGAAUUACGGGUUAAUGAGCUCUUCCCUUCUACACCCAGAUUCAGUCCAAAAUGAG
rnacentral:lncRNA from 1 species